rnacentral:rRNA from 1 species
UGCAGUCGAACGAGCGAGAGAGAGCUUGCUUUCUCAAGCGAGUGGCGAACGGGUGAGUAACGCGUGAGGAACCUGCCUCAAAGAGGGGGACAACAGUUGGAAACGACUGCUAAUACCGCAUAAGCCCACGACCCGGCAUCGGGUAGAGGGAAAAGGAGCAAUCCGCUUUGAGAUGGCCUCGCGUCCGAUUAGCUAGUUGGUGAGGUAACGGCCCACCAAGGCGACGAUCGGUAGCCGGACUGAGAGGUUGAACGGCCACAUUGGGACUGAGACACGGCCCAGACUCCUACGGGAGGCAGCAGUGGGGAAUAUUGCACAAUGGGGGAAACCCUGAUGCAGCGACGCCGCGUGGAGGAAGAAGGUCUUCGGAUUGUAAACUCCUGUUGUUGAGGAAGAUAAUGACGGUACUCAACAAGGAAGUGACGGCUAACUACGUGCCAGCAGCCGCGGUAAAACGUAGGUCACAAGCGUUGUCCGGAAUUACUGGGUGUAAAGGGAGCGCAGGCGGGAAGACAAGUUGGAAGUGAAAUCCAUGGGCUCAACCCAUGAACUGCUUUCAAAACUGUUUUUCUUGAGUAGUGCAGAGGUAGGCGGAAUUCCCGGUGUAGCGGUGGAAUGCGUAGAUAUCGGGAGGAACACCAGUGGCGAAGGCGGCCUACUGGGCACCAACUGACGCUGAGGCUCGAAAGUGUGGGUAGCAAACAGGAUUAGAUACCCUGGUAGUCCACACUGUAAACGAUGAUUACUAGGUGUUGGAGGAUUGACCCCUUCAGUGCCGCAGUUAACACAAUAAGUAAUCCACCUGGGGAGUACGACCGCAAGGUUGAAACUCAAAGGAAUUGACGGGGGCCCGCACAAGCAGUGGAGUAUGUGGUUUAAUUCGACGCAACGCGAAGAACCUUACCAAGUCUUGACAUCCUGCGACGGUGCUGGAAACAGUACUU